rnacentral:rRNA from 1 species
UAGGGAAUCUUCGGCAAUGGACGAAGGUCUGACCGAGCAACGCCGCGUGAGUGAAGAAGGUUUUCGGAUCGUAAAACUCUGUUGUUUGAGAAGAACAAGGACGUUAGUAACUGAACGUCCCCUGACGGUAUCUAACCAGAAAGCCACGGCUAACUACGUGCCAGCAGCCGCGGUAAUACGUAGGUGGCAAGCGUUGUCCGGAUUUAUUGGGCGUAAAGCGAGCGCAGGCGGUUUCUUAAGUCUGAUGUGAAAGCCCCCGGCUCAACCGGGGAGGGUCAUUGGAAACUGGGAGACUUGAGUGCAGAAGCAGAGAGUGGAAUUCCAUGUGUAGCGGGGAAAUGCGUAGAUAUAUGGAGGAACACCAGUGGCGAAGGCGGCUCUCUGGUCUGUAACUGACGCUGAGGCUCGAAAGCGUGGGGAGCAAACAGG